UACGAAGGGGGCUAGCGUUGCUCGGAAUUACUGGGCGUAAAGCGCACGUAGGCGGCUUUCUAAGUCGGGGGUGAAAUCCUGGAGCUCAACUCCAGAACUGCCUUCGAUACUGGAGAGCUCGAGUCCGGGAGAGGUGAGUGGAACUGCGAGUGUAGAGGUGAAAUUCGUAGAUAUUGCAAGAACACCAGUGGCGAAGGCGGCUCACUGGCCCGGUACUGACGCUGAGGUGCGAAAGCGUGGGGAG
rnacentral:rRNA from 1 species